CACUCCUGCGGGAGGCAGCAGUGGGGAAUUUUGGACAAUGGGCGAAAGCCUGAUCCAGCAAUGCCGCGUGCAGGAUGAAGGCCUUCGGGUUGUAAACUGCUUUUGUACGGAACGAAAAAGCUCCUUCUAAUACAGGGGGCCCAUGACGGUACCGUAAGAAUAAGCACCGGCUAACUACGUGCCAGCAGCCGCGGUAAUACGUAGGGUGCGAGCGUUAAUCGGAAUUACUGGGCGUAAAGCGUGCGCAGGCGGUUAUGUAAGACAGAUGUGAAAUCCCCGGGCUCAACCUGGGAACUGAAUUUGUGACUGCAUGGCUAGAGUACGGUAGAGGGGGAUGGAAUUCCGCGUGUAGCAGUGAAAUGCGUAGAUAUGCGGAGGAACACCGAUGGCGAAGGCAAUCCCCUGGACCUGUACUGACGCUCAUGCACGAAAGCGUGGGGAGCAAACAGGAUUAGAAACCCCAGUAGUCCCAUGAU
rnacentral:rRNA from 1 species